rnacentral:lncRNA from 1 species
UGUUUGUGCCGCUCACACAUUGAUGGCAAUAUAACAAAGUUUAUGGGACUGUCAUGCCAGUGUACAUUUUAGCUAGCUAUAAAACCAGGUUUAAUCCACUAAUUUAUACAUAAGAAAAUGUCUGUACCAAGUGAGGAAUGUGACAGUUGUUUUCCAUUUGUUUGAUUACAAAGAUAUGUUUGAGCUUUUGAUUUUGUUGGUA